UACGUAGGGGGCAAGCGUUGUCCGGAAUUAUUGGGCGUAAAGAGCGCGUAGGCGGUCCGGUAAGUCAGCUGUGAAAGUCAAGGGCUCAACCCUUGAAAGCCGGUUGAUACUGUCGGGCUAGAGUCCGGAAGAGGUGAGUGGAACUUCCGGUGGAGCGGUGAAAUGCGUUGAUAUCGGAAGGAACGCCGGUGGCGAAAGCGGCGUGCUGGACCUUUGCUGACGCUGAUGCGCGAAAGCCAGGGGAGCGAACGGG
rnacentral:rRNA from 1 species